rnacentral:rRNA from 2 species
AAAAAUAACGAUACGGGACUCUAUUGAGGCCCCGUAAUCGGAAUGAGUACACUUUAAAUCCUUUAACAAGGAUCCAUUGGAGGGCAAGUCUGGUGCCAGCAGCCGCGGUAAUUCCAGCUCCAAUAGCGUAUAUUAAAGUUGUUGCGGUUAAAAAGCUCGUAGUUGGUUCUGCGUGCCGCGCUGUCGGUUCGCCGCCUGUCGGUGUAACUGGCAUGUCGCGGCAUGUCCUGUCGGUGGUGAACGGAGUCCACAAUGCUACAUAGGCUUUAUAGCCGAUGUUAGCGUCGUGUGUACUUCCGUUGGCCGAUCUCUCCUACUUCGGUGCUCUUAAACGAGUGUCGAGGUAGGCCGACACGUUCACUUUGAACAAAUUAGAGUGCUUAAAGCAGGCUGAAAUAUCUGCCUGAAUAGUGGUGCAUGGAAUGAUAAAACAGGACCUCGGUUCUAUUUUGUUGGUUUUAGGAAUAUGAGGUAAUGAUCAAUGUGGACUGGCGGGGGCAUUCGUAUUGCGACGUUAGAGGUGAAAUUCUUGGAUCGUCGCAAGACGCACUAGAGCGAAAGCAUUUGCCAAGUAUGUCUUAAUUGAUCAAGAACGAAAGUUAGAGGUUCGAAGGCGAUCAGAUACCGCCCUAGUUCUAACCAUAAACGAUGCCAGCCAGCGAUCCGCCGAUGUUCCUUUAAUGACUCGGCGGGGAGCUUCCACCCGGGAAACCAAAGCUUUUGGGUUCCGGGGGAAGUAUGGUUGCAAAGCUGAAACUUAAAGGAAUUGACGGAAGGGCACCACCAGGAG